CCCACUCUUCCGACUCCACGGUUUCUGUCGCUUCACUACCUUUAAGCAAGGCCAAAAACUUUCGCCAACUGCCGCAAUCAGAGAUUCAAAAACAUCUUGCCGCUGGUACCUGCUUCCGUUGCGGUCUGACUUUCGGACCCCUUCACCGCUGCCCGCCUAAGACGUUGAACGUCCUUGUGUGUGAUGAAUUGGGGGAGCCCGAGUUCGAUGCACUACACCAGCACGCACCUGUUGAGGCAUCCUAUUUCCGGUCCAUACUUCAGCCUUGAGGACAAGGCUGUUUUGCCCGGGGAGGCUAUUGAUAGACCUUGGCUGAUUAAGUUUAUCUUUAUUUCUUCUUAUCUUGUUAAGUCAUUUAUUAUGUUUGGGUCAAUAAUUAUUAUGAGUCCUUAAGCCCGUCCAGUAUGUUGCAUGGGCUUAGUAAGUUAGGG
rnacentral:lncRNA from 1 species